GAUGAACGCUGGCGGCGUGCCUAACACAUGCAAGUCAACUUGACGGAAGGAGCAAUCUGACCGUAGAGUGGCGCAAAGGGUGCGUAACGCGUAAGUAACUUGCCCAAGGUAAGGAAUAACGUCGAGAAAUCGGCGCUAAUACCUCAUAAUGCAGCGGAUCCGCAUGGAUAUGUUGUUAAAGGUUUACCGCCUUGGGAUAGGCUUGCGUCUGAUUAGCUAGUUGGUGUGGUAACGGCACACCAAGGCUACGAUCAGUAACUGGUCUGAGAGGAUGAUCAGUCACACUGGAACUGAGACACGGUCCAGACUCCUACGGAGGCAGCAGUGAGGAAUAUUGGGCAAUGCUCGAAAGAGUGACCCAGCAACGCCGCGUGGAGGAUGAAGGUAUUCUAUAUCGUAAACUCCUGUGAGAGCAGACGAAAGACAGAUUAUUAAUCUGGAUGACUGUAUGCUC
rnacentral:rRNA from 1 species